UUUGCUCCUCUUGUGUUUCUAAGCCUGAGAAGAUCCACGAUCUCCGUGAGUGGGUACUUUAGAUGGGUACAUUCAGGGCACGUGAAUAAAUCUACCUAGAGAGAAAACUGAACAUCCAGACUGGUCUUCCGUAACAGCUGCGAAAGAAGGAACAGUUCUAAACUAACUUCUUCAAGAGCAUACAAGGCUUUCCUUUUGCUUCAGAGAAAACAAAUGACCAAUGAACACAGAAUUUUAAGUCUUCUAAAGCUCAUCAGAGAAAUUUUGUGCUGGUUUGGAUAAGCUAUGCUAAUUGGACUCGAAGGAAAUAUUUAGUUUAUUAUAGCAAAUGAAGAAUUCAUUAAGUUCUAGCAAGGAAAAAAGUCAAGCACUGGAACUGGACAUAAUUUUUUGAACACAAUUCUCCCUUUCAAGACCUGAGCUCUUUUGGCAGAGAUUUUGCAUUUGGAUGGACUGGACAACUUGUUUAACAAACGGUUUUCAGUCUGCAUUUUAAUUUUUCUACCUGUCCAUCUUGAUCCAUGUCAUUUUGUGUGAGCAAUUAUUUGGACCGCAGCAAACAAGUCAUAAGUCUGCCUGCCAAGUCUUGCUUGAAAUAACAGCUUUGAUGCUUUUCCUGCUACUCUGAUCUUUGCAGAGGUUGAUACCUGCAUAUGAUAAAGGCAAAAUGGGUUAUGCAUUUGUCCUGAUGCUGAGCUUCAGAGUGCAAUGGAGCUUACAGUCUGUACUCUGAAUUACAUAUUUGAGGUGCAAGCCUCAGCACCUCUGUAAGGAGUGGGAAUUUCCAUGGUUCCUGGGAGCAGUGCUAUCUUCUGGUGUCCCAGGAGGAUGCAGCAGAGCUGACAUAGAUGAGCACAUCUUUUUAGAGUCAGCUUUUAGUGACCCUCUUGAUUCCAUGUUUAUGAAAUUCUGCUGUAGAAGUUGGCUAUUUAGUGUAAAGAUGGGCUCCAACCAGGGUAAGUUCUGUUGUCAUGUAUUGAUGACAAGAUGUGCGUUUCUUUCUGUGUUCAUGAUUUAGUUUGCAUUUGUAAUAAAUCUAUUUGCACAG
ensembl:lncRNA